rnacentral:rRNA from 1 species
AGUGGACGCUGGCGGUAGGCCUAACACAUGCAAGUCGAACGGCAGCACAGUAAGAGCUUGCUCUUACGGGUGGCGAGUGGCGGACGGGUGAGGAAUACAUCGGAAUCUACUUUUUCGUGGGGGAUAACGUAGGGAAACUUACGCUAAUACCGCAUACGACCUACGGGUGAAAGCAGGGGAUCUUCGGACCUUGCGCGAUUGAAUGAGCCGAUGUCGGAUUAGCUAGUUGGCGGGGUAAAGGCCCACCAAGGCGACGAUCCGUAGCUGGUCUGAGAGGAUGAUCAGCCACACUGGAACUGAGACACGGUCCAGACUCCUACGGGAGGCAGCAGUGGGGAAUAUUGGACAAUGGGCGAAAGCCUGAUCCAGCCAUACCGCGUGGGUGAAGAAGGCCUUCGGGUUGUAAAGCCCUUUUGUUGGGAAAGAAAAGCAGCAGGUUAAUACCCCGCUGUUCUGACGGUACCCAAAGAAUAAGCACCGGCUAACUUCGUG